GUGCUUGCUUCAGCAGCACAUAUACUAAAAUUGGAACGAUAUAGAGAAGAUGAGCAUGGCCCCUGUGCAAAGAUGACAUACAAAUUUGUGAAACAUUCCGUAUUUUU